UUUCAAGAGGCUGAUGUUGUCAUCGUGGGCGACAGGGGAGCGCAAGGGGAUGUUGGUGCAGAAGAGCGGCGGGUGAUUGGGGUUCAUCUCAGAUACCAUGGAGGUCGUACUCAAGGUUGAAUCUACUCUGUCACUCUAGCGAUGCAGAAUUUGCAGCCACACAGGAGAUUCAGAUGAGAUAUGAAGGCAAUCAGGUUGAGCAGUGCGUGUUCGAGGCUUGGUAAGCCAGGUCAUGGGCAGGGCCGUGGUCGCUUUGUUCGGUUUGCCGUUCCUCUUGUUCCGCUCGCCACCGAUGGAUGCCACGCCACAGCUCCUCUCGUGGGCUACGGUAAGGUGCUCCACCUCUAGCCCUUGCAGGUUGUUUUUAGUCGCCUCAAUGUUUGGGCCAAGCUAGGUUUACAUCCACUUAGUAUAGACUAUCCUUCAGCUUUCGUUUGGCCCGUUCUAGCAUCUGUACUCGCUGUACGUUCGUCAAGUCCGCAAGUACUACCUUGCAGGUCUUUCGUCAAGCGCACGUAAAAAUAGAGAACUA